rnacentral:rRNA from 1 species
GAUGAACGCUGGCGGCAUGCCUAACACAUGCAAGUCGAACGAAGCGGUGCGGAUUGAGACUUCGGUUGAUUGAAACACUGACUUAGUGGCGGACGGGUGAGUAACGCGUGAGUAAUCUGCCUUAGAGUGGGGGAUAACGCUCCGAAAGGAACGCUAAUACCGCAUAACAUAUUGAGAUCGCAUGAUUUUGAUAUCAAAGAUUUAUUGCUUUAAGAUGAGCUCGCGUAUGAUUAGCUAGUUGGUGAGGUAACGGCUCACCAAGGCGACGAUCAUUAGCCGGACUGAGAGGUUGAACGGCCACAUUGGGACUGAGACACGGCCCAG